GACACCUGACCCACAGACUUGGGACUUGCCAGCCUCUACAGUUGCAUGAGCCAUUUUUUUAGAUCCUCCUGCUGGGCAAUUGGAGAAUCCUCAAAGUGGUGAAGUAGAUGUGGAGGCCGAGGUAAUGUCACCUAUCUUUAUCUGAGACAGAAAUGAUAAUCUGUGUCCUCUUACCUCCUCAUAAUGACUCACUGGAGAUAAUUCAUCUGGACAAGACAGAUGAAGAGGUCUCAUCUGAUGACCAGAUGGCCUCAAGUACAAACAAAAAUGGGAUGUAUUCUGGAAUCAGUCAAUUUCUGAGGAAAUACAUAGAUAAGAGUUGGAGCUUUUUUGCGGACUUUUAUCUGAAGAGUCACCCUGAUUUCUUAAGCUUUCUGUUUAUUGUACGUGAGCAAUACUUCAAUAAAUGCAGAGAGACAUGGGGACCUCAUACCACCAAGAAAGCAGUGCUGGGAGGAGAGCAGGUCCUUUGGGCCUGAGGUUCCUAAGCUGAGAUGCUCCC